ensembl:lncRNA CT70 cancer/testis associated transcript 70
ACAUUCGCAGAAACGUUUUUAACUGGCAAGGUUUCGAGUUCCCAACCACAGCACCCUCAGUGAUGGUUUUCAGAAGACCUUGUUAGCUCCUCUCCUCCAGAGACCCAUCCUUCGCUGACAUCCCACCGAUUUGGGAGCAGGAAAAAACAGACUCCUGCAAAAUACCUCUUCUUCCAGUGCCCUGUACCCCUCUCUACUUACUUCGAGUCCCUGCAGUCCAGCAACAACCCCAAACGAGUGAAGGGAGGAGACAUAGGUUUGUCCAGGCUCUGCCACCGACGGGUGAUUUGGGAUGAGUCCUUCUCCAGUAUCAUUAUCUUCAACUGUAAAACAUGAGGGUUAGUCCGAAUGAUCUCCAAACGCUUCAGCAUUAAAGAUACAGUGAGAAGGUACCAUCUAUGAAUCAGAAAGUGGGCCCUCAUCUGAACAUGACCAUGCUGGCACCACGAUCUUGGACUUCUCAGCCCCCAGAACUAACAGUUCAACUUGGAGCACCCGCUAUAUGCCCCACGCUGUGACAGACUCUCAGGGGACACCAAGGGAAGUAAGGCCCAGCUCCCGCCUCAAAGAGCUGACCAUCAACUGGCGGGGAUUAGACAAUGAGAGAAGUCCAAGCUAAAGAAAGUACCACAGGAGAAACACCAGGCGCUUGAGGUUUCAAAGGAGGGAAAGGAUAUAUCAGGUUGGAGAUACUAACAAAAGACUUUAUUCAUUCAUCCAUGUAUAUCCAAUGAAAAUAUUUAUUGGGUGCCUACUAUAUACCAGGCACUAAGUUAGCUAUCAGGAAUAAGAUAUAAGUAAGCCAUUAUUCCUAGCCUCAAAGACUUCAUAAAAAAGUAGGAGGAACACACAUGUAGACAAACAAUAAUAUUCAUUAAUUCAUUUAUUCAACAUUUAAUGAGUAUCUAUUAAGUCCCAAGCUCAAGAGUGGUGAGAAGAAAGGUCUCUGUGGUAAAGGAACCCACAGUCUAGCUCAGAUGAUAGGUGUAUAAACAGAACAUUUCUAUGUAAAGUAGUGUGUUCAGUGCUGUGAUAGGUAUGUUAAAAAAAAUUGCAAAGUCUCAAGAUAGAGGGUGAAGGGCAAUAAACUCUUUCUGGGGUCAGAGAAAGCUUCUGUAGAGAACACAACAGAGGGAGUAUUACAGGACGAAGGAGCUUUUCAGGUAAUUAUAGAGAGGCAGGAGGAAGAGUAUCUGAGGCAGGUUGUACCAAUAUGGCUGGAAUAAGAAGAGUAGAGAUGUACCAGAGACAGAGGGUGGCCAAAUGGUGCGAGGUUUUAGAGCCCUUCAGCUGAAAGAAUGGAAUGUCAAGGUAUAAUGACCACUCAGAGGAGCAGGUAAACAACUGAGUGCAGGGUGUGGAUGGAAUCUCAGGGAAAGGUUCCUGGUGGAGUACAUAUCUGAGAGUUUUAAGUAAUGUGCAGGAACUUGUUAAGAAGAAACAGCAUUCCUCAGAAUGGAUUUUGCAGGUGAAAAUAAUGGAGAGAAGAAAUUUCAGAGUCAACAGCUUGAGCAAAAAGCAAAGAAGCAAAAAGCCCACGUACAUACAAUCAGGGAGAGGUGAGAGCCUGUGAAGGCGGCUCUUCACAUGUCUCUAAUCUCAGUGAACUCUGUGUUUCUGCCCUGACUCUGCUCAUUGUACAACAUGGGGGAGGGGUCCUCCUUCCAUCCCUUUCUCCUCUUCAAGGGUGACUCUUGGGUACUCAGAGUUUUAUGAAAUUAGGAGACCAAA